rnacentral:rRNA from 1 species
AGUGAACGCUGGCGGUAGGCCUAACACAUGCAAGUCGAACGGCAGCACAGUAAGAGCUUGCUCUUACGGGUGGCGAGUGGCGGACGGGUGAGGAAUACAUCGGAAUCUACUUUUUCGUGGGGGAUAACGUAGGGAAACUUACGCUAAUACCGCAUACGACCUACGGGUGAAAGCAGUGGAUCUUCGGACCUUGCGCGAUUGAAUGAGCCGAUGUCGGAUUAGCUAGUUGGCGGGGUAAAGGCCCACCAAGGCGACGAUCCGUAGCUGGUCUGAGAGGAUGAUCAGCCACACUGGAACUGAGACACGGUCCAGACUCCUACGGGAGGCAGCAGUGGGGAAUAUUGGGCAAUGGGCGCAAGCCUGAUCCAGCAACACCGCGUGGGUGAAGAAGGCCUUCGGGUUGUAAAGCCCUUUUGUUAGGAAAGAAAAGCAGCAUGUUAAUCCCCCGCUGUUCUGACGGUACCCAAAGAAUAAGCACCGGCUAACUUCGUG